UUGGACCAUAUGUAAUGGUAGAAGUCUAUGAUAAUGCCAAAUAUUCAUUGAAGAGUUGGAUGGUACAAGGUUGAAGAUAUCUAUUGCUAGAAAGUGAGUGUAGAUUUUCAAAAGACAAGAUAGACAAAUCAAGGUAGAGGAUCAUGCUGAAGAUAUUAAUAUUUUUAAAUAAGAUAAUUGUACUAAAAUGGAUGGUGAAAAUAAUAAUGAAGAAAUUAAUGCAAAAAAUAAAAAGAAAAUAUGAUGCCAAUUAUGACAUAAGAUUCAUUUGGCACAAAUUGGAUGAUGUGUAGUUCAGAGGAGGUAGAUGUUAUAUUAUAAUACAACUAUAUGGUGAAAAUAUAAUCAAAAAUGAAUUUCUAAUUAAUAUUUAGCCAUCUUGAUUCAAUAAUAAUUGAAGAUAUUUAAAAAUAAAUUUUAUAAAAGAUUUUUGAUUUAUUUUCUUAUCUUCAUAGCUAGUAGAU
rnacentral:lncRNA from 1 species